rnacentral:rRNA from 1 species
AUUGAACGCUGGCGGCAGGCCUAACACAUGCAAGUCGAACGAGUGGCGGACGGGUGAGUAAUGUCUGGGAAACUGCCUGAUGGAGGGGGAUAACUACUGGAAACGGUAGCUAAUAACGAAUACCAUCGGAUGUGCCCAGAUGGGAUUAGCUAGUAGGUGGGGUAAAGGCUCACCUAGGCGACGAUCCCUAGCUGGGAUAGGAGGAUGACCAGCCACACGGGAACUGAGACCAGGUCCAGACUCCGACGGGAGGUAGCAGUGGGGAAUAUUGCACAAUGGGCGCAAGCCUGAUGCAGCCAUGCCGCGUGUAUGAAGAAGGCCUUCGGGUUGUAAAGUACUUUCAGCGGGGAGGCGUUACCCGCAGAAGAAGCACCGGCUAACUCCGUGCCAGCAGCCGCGGUAAUUC